AUUGAACGCUGGCGGCAUGCCUUACACAUGCAAGUCGAACGGUAACAGGCCUUCGGGUGCUGACGAGUGGCGAACGGGGGCGUAAUGCAUCGGAACGUACCCAGAGGUGGGGGAUAACGCAGCAAAAGCUGUGCUAAUACCGCAUGUGAUCUGAGGAUGACAGCGGGGGACCGAGCAGCAAUGUUUGGCCUCGCGCCUUUGGAGCGGCCGAUGUCGGAUUAGCUAGUUGGCGGGGUAAAGGCCUACCAAGGCGACGAUCCGUAGCUGGUCUGAGAGGACGACCAGCCACACUGGGACUGAGACACGGCCCAGACUCCUACGGGAGGCAGCAGUGGGGAAUUUUGGACAAUGGGCGCAAGCCUGAUCCAGCAAUGCCGCGUGCGGGAAGAAGGCCUUCGGGUUGUAAACCGCUUUUGGCAGGAACGAAACGGUGUCCGCUAAUACCGGGCGCUAAUGACGGUACCUGCAGAAUAAGCACCGGCUAACUACGUG
rnacentral:rRNA from 1 species